CCUACGGGGGGCUGCAGUAAGGAAUAUUGGUCAAUGGACGCAAGUCUGAACCAGCCAUGCCGCGUGAAGGAUGAAGGCCCUCUGGGUUGUAAACUUCUUUUAUCUGGGACGAAAAAAGGGAAUUCUUUCCCACUUGACGGUACCAGAGGAAUAAGCACCGGCUAACUCCGUGCCAGCAGCCGCGGUAAUACGGAGGGUGCAAGCGUUAUCCGGAUUUACUGGGUUUAAAGGGUGCGUAGGUGGGCCUGUAAGUCAGUGGUGAAAUCUCCGAGCUUAACUCGGAAACUGCCAUUGAUACUAUAGGUCUUGAAUUAUCUGGAGGUGAGCGGAAUAUGUCAUGUAGCGGUGAAAUGCUUAGAUAUGACAUAGAACACCAAUUGCGAAGGCAGCUCACUACGGAGAUAUUGACACUGAGGCACGAAAGCGUGGGGAUCAAACAGGAUUAGAUACCCCGGUAGUC
rnacentral:rRNA from 1 species